rnacentral:rRNA from 1 species
AACGAACGCUGGCGGCAUGCCUAACACAUGCAAGUCGAACGAGAUCCUUCGGGGUCUAGUGGCGCACGGGUGCGUAACGCGUGGGAAUCUGCCCUUAGAUUCGGAAUAACAGUUAGAAAUGACUGCUAAUACCGGAGGAUGACGUUAAGUCCAAAGAUUUAUCGCCUGAGGAUGAGCCCGCGUAGGAUUAGCUAGGUGGUGUGGUAAAGGCGCACCAAGGCGACGAUCCUUAGCUGGUCUGAGAGGAUGAUCAGCCACACUGGGACUGAGACACGGCCCAGACUCCUACGGGAGGCAGCAGUGGGGAAUAUUGGGCAAUGGGGGCAAGCCUGAUCCAGCAAUGCCGCGUGAGUGAGGAAGGCCUUAGGGUUGUAAAGCUCUUUUACCCGGGAUGAUAAUGACAGUACCGGGAGAAUAAGCCCCGGCUAACUCCGUG